rnacentral:rRNA from 1 species
GAUGAACGCUGGCGGCGUGCCUAAUACAUGCAAGUCGAGCGAACAGACGAGGAGCUUGCUCCUUUGACGUUAGCGGCGGACGGGUGAGUAACACGUGGGUAACCUACCUAUAAGACUGGGAUAACUUCGGGAAACCGGAGCUAAUACCGGAUAAUAUUUCGAACCGCAUGGUUCGAUAGUGAAAGAUGGCUUUGCUAUCACUUAUAGAUGGGCCUGCGCCGUAUUAGCUAGUUGGUAAGGUAACGGCUUACCAAGGCAACGAUACGUAGCCGACCUGAGAGGGUGAUCGGCCAAACUGGAACUGAGACACGGUCCAGACUCCUACGGGAGGCAGCAGUAGGGAAUCUUCCGAAAUGGGCGAAAGCCUGACGGAGCAACGCCGAGUGAGUGAUGAAGGUCUUCGGAUCGUAAAACUCUGUUAUUAGGGAAGAACAAACGUGUAAGUAACUGUGCACGUCUUGACGGUACCUAAUCAGAAAGCCACGGCUAACUACGUG